GCGGGUGUGGCGGAAUUGGCAGACGCGCUAGAUUUAGGUUCUAGUGUAGCAGUACGUGCAGGUUCAAGUCCUGUCACCCGCACCA
rnacentral:tRNA from 1 species